UACGGAGGGUGCAAGCGUUAUCCGGAUUCACUGGGUUUAAAGGGUGCGUAGGUGGAGUGGUAAGUCAGUGGUGAAAUCUCCAAGCUUAACUUGGAAACUGCCGUUGAUACUAUCAUUCUUGAAUAUCGUGGAGGUAAGCGGAAUAUGUCAUGUAGCGGUGAAAUGCUUAGAUAUGACAUAGAACACCCAUUGCGAAGGCAGCUAACUACGCGAUAAUUGACGCUGAUGCACGAAAGCGUGGGGAUCAAACAGG
rnacentral:rRNA from 1 species